rnacentral:rRNA from 1 species
CGUCCUCAGCUGUAUCUAACAACCUAUUAAAUUUAUCUGAAUUUUUCGUAAUAGAAAUAAAAACAACUUUAGACAACGGAUCUCUUGGCUCUCGCAACGAUGAAGAACGCAGCGAAACGCGAUAUGUAAUGUGAAUUGCAUAAUUCCGUGAAUCAUCAAAUCUUUGAACGCACAUUGCACUCUGUUUACGCAGAGUAUGCCUGUUUGAGAAUCUAUAGUAUUCAUUUCUGGGUAGUUUACCUGGGAGAUUUGCACUGUGUCUAGCUUUUUGCUCUGACUAACGCUAAAUAUAUUACUUGACUGGCAGUAGAUGUUUGACCCUGCUAUGUUACUGAAAGCUAUGAAUGAGACGCAAGUUUCCUUUAGGUGGUAGGUAAUGGGUGGGUAGUUUAUUGCUGGGUAGAGUUCAUACCUUAUAGACUCUGGCCUAGCCAGUGAUCUGAACCAAGGUCUCAAAUCAGGUAGGAAGACCCGCUGAACUUAA